rnacentral:misc_RNA from 1 species
UAACUAUUAUAUAGUACUCAGACAUCACUAAAAACAGAGUUUGUUUCCUCUGGCAGGCACGCAUAAGCCGGGGCCCAUGGUGUUUCCACGGCCUGCCAAAGCAACGAAGGUAUAAUAUUCAAGGGUGGGAGAUCUACCCGUAAGGGCAUGAACUCUGUAAUGAUCCUUCCGCAGGUUCACCUACGGAAA